rnacentral:lncRNA from 1 species
UUGAUGUCAGCAGAAUUUAAACUCCCACCUUAAAGCUUGGCCUCCCAUUCUCUGGUUGAACUUGUAUGAAGGAGAGACUGGAGAUGACAGUAUCAAGGAAAAUGGCUAAAGCAACUAUACAGAGAGUGAGAAGAACUGAGACCUCGUCCUGCCUCUCUGGAUCCGUUUACCACUCGUUGAUAAACGCGCCAACCCCUGCUCUUCCCAGGUGUACCUGCAACCCUCACUCACAGCACGCAGUGUAUUUUAGUCCUUCCAAUACUGUCUUAAAAUGAACAUUCUUUCAGGUUGGAUGGAAAGGUGGUCUUCCUUCUUUCUUAACACUUUAAAUAUAUUGCAAUUCAUCUGGGCCUUUUGGUAAGAUAACUAACUUCACACCUUGGGGAAAAAUUUUCAAAGGUAGGACCAUUUAUAAUGUCUGUUAGGGCAAUUAUAAGGGAUCUGGAAGAAACCCAAUCUUCAUAUUACAUUGUUAGUUGGGAGAGGGAGAAAAUUCUGCCUCAAUGAUAGUUUUUCUUAUCAUUGUUCCUGUUUGGGAGUCUUAGUAGCUAUGAAUUCAGCGGGGGAAGGUACUUCCCUUCUUUUUACUGUACAUUCCAGUUGUGCACAGAAAACAUUGCAGAAACCAGUAUGUAUUUUUUGUGACAUACAUUUUUAGAAUAAUUAUGGAAAUGGUAGAAUUUAUCAUUCCAGAACAGGAAGACUGACCUUCAGUUUCAAAUGAAGUUAACUAAUUUAUUUUAUUUACAUUUCUGGGUAAAAACUGGCUCUACAAAUUAAGAAGCAUAGUAGCUUCUUUAUGGUAAAGAUACCUUUCUGAAAAGUAAACCAUUCUAUUGAAGUAACUUUACUAAUAUGUAGAUUUUGCACUUUAUUCCUGAGACCUCAUUCAUGUAGUUAGCCCUGAACAUUUAGGCACUAAGAGAACCUGAGAGUUCUUAGGUAGUUGUGUGGAGAAUGAAAAUGGACUCUGUUUCUUUGGUAACAAAGGUGAUGCUGGUGUUUUCAACAGAAAAUACAGACUGUGGGUCACAAUGCAGAGAUUCGGAGUCCCACAGUCCUCCACUGUGAUGGUUACAAAUGCCCUAGUGUCCAGCCUCAAAAGAUUUGCUAGGUAAAGAGUAUCAGGCUUUCCCAAAGGUCCAGUUUAGUUUUUUGGCCCUGUUGGCUUCCUUUUUUAUUUGAACCAUCAAUGUACCUCCUCCCCUCAGGAAUAACUUGUCGACUAAGAUGGAAAGCUAUCAUUGAAUGGAAUGUUCAUUUUAUGCCAGCUAUUUCAAGUUUUAAAAUACACAGAAGAGAAAAAAUAUUGUGCAAGGACUUCUGUUUCUUUCCCAUCUAAG